UUGGUAACAAGGGGUCUGGAGGAAGCCGAUAGCAAAGCACUGACCUGAUGAACAAGAAGCAGAUAUGAGGCAUACUGGGCGGGUAAGGGAGCCAAAAGACUUAAAGCCCAAAUACACGUACGGAACCCACUAUGUAAAUCUGACAGGUAUAAGUGUGAAAGCA
rnacentral:ncRNA from 1 species